rnacentral:rRNA from 1 species
GAUGAACGCUGGCGGCGUGCUUAACACAUGCAAGUCGAACGAGAAGUGAAGACGGAAACCUUCGGGCGGAAGGCUUUAUUUCGAGUGGCGGACGGGUGAGUAACGCGUGGGUAACCUGACUCAUACAGGGGGAUAACAGUUGGAAACGACUGUUAAUACCGCAUAAGACCACAGCACCGCAUGGUGCGGGGGUAAAAACUCCGGUGGUAUGAGAUGGACCCGCGUUCGAUUAGCCAGUUGGCGGGGUAACGGCCCACCAAAGCGACGAGCGAUAGCCGAUCAGUGAGGAUGACCGGCCACAUUGGGACUGAGACACGGCCCAAACUCCUACGGGAGGCAGCAGUGGGGAAUAUUGCACAAUGGGGGAAGCCCUGAUGCAGCGACGCCGCGUGAGUGAAGAAGUAUUUCGGUAUGUAAAGCUCUAUCAGCAGGGAAGAAAAUGACGGUACCUGAGUAAGAAGCCCCGGCUAACUACGUG